AUAUUCUCCCAAUUUGUCACUCACUGGCUCUUCCGAGAGUGGGGAGUUCCUCGGGUUGACCUCUUUACAACCUGCCAGAACCAGCGUUGCUCUCGGUUCUGCUCCAGAGGUGGGGUAGGAAGGGGUGUAAUCUCCAAUGUGUUCCUCGUGCAGUGGGUGGGUGGGCUCCUUUAUGCUUUCCUGC